rnacentral:tRNA from 1 species
GAGGAUGUGGCUCAGCGGUAGAAGCGGCGGAUUGCAAAUCCGUAGGUCCCCGGUUCGAUCCCGGGCAUUCUCU